ACAAUGAUACUUCCGUACGUGGCUGGCGACGAAACAGGCAGGGGCGAGAGGCCCAUGG
ncrna:unclassified sequences pemK RNA